AUUGAACGCUGGCGGCAUGCUUUACACAUGCAAGUCGAACGGUAACAGGCCGCAAGGUGCUGACGAGUGGCGAACGGGUGAGUAAUGCAUCGGAACGUGCCCAGUCGUGGGGGAUAACUACUCGAAAGAGUAGCUAAUACCGCAUACGAUCUAUGGAUGAAAGGGGGGGACCGUCAGGCCUCGCGCGGUUGGAGUGGCCGGUGUGAGAUUAGGUAGUUGGUGGGGUAAAGCCUUACCAAGACGACGAUCUGCAGCUGGUCUGAGAGGACGACCAGCCACACUUGGGCGGAGCAACAGCGCGGACUCCUGGGCGAGGCAGCAGUGGGGAAUCCAAGACUAUGGGGGGAAGCCUGAUCGAGCCAGGCUGCGUGAGUGAUGAAGGCCUGAGGGAUGCAAAUCUCGUUCAGCUGGGAAGAUAAUGACGGUACCAGCAGAAUAAGCCCCGGCUAACUCCGUG
rnacentral:rRNA from 1 species